UACAGAGGUCUCAAGCGUUGUUCGGAAUCACUGGGCGUAAAGGGUGCGUAGGUGGCGUGGAAAGUCAGAUGUGAAAUCCGGAGGCUCAACCUCCGAAUUGCAUCCGAUACUCCCAUGCUAGAGAACUGGAGGGGAGUCUGGAAUUCUCGGUGUAGCAGUGAAAUGCGUAGAUAUCUGGAGGAACACCGGUGGCGAAGGCGACAUCCUGGACCGGUAUUGACGCUGAGGCGCGAAAGCCAGGGGAGCAAACGGG
rnacentral:rRNA from 1 species